rnacentral:rRNA from 1 species
AUGCAUUCAAAGAGUGCGUAACAGCUCACUGGUCGAGUGGACAUGCGCCGACAAUACACGGGGCUAAGCUGGACACCGAAGCGGCGGGAUUUUAUCUAUAGAAUCGGUAGGGGAGCUUCCCAUGGGCGGAGAAGCCGGAGGGCGACCGACGGUGGAGCGCAUGGGAGUGAGAAUGCUGGCAUGAGUAGCGAGAGACGAGAGAGUAACUCGUCCGCCGUGAACCCGAGGUUUCCUGGGCAAGGCUAAUCCUCCCAGGGUCAGUCGGGGGCUAAGGCGAGGCCGGGAGGCGUAGCCGACGCGCAGCAGGCAGACAUUCCUGCACCGCGCACGCGGCGCUACGACCGACGGGGCGACGGAUGGGGGUGGCUCGGCGGGGUUCUGGACGUCCCCGUGAUGGAGCGCGGCCCGCGGACCAGGGAAAUCCGGUCCGCAUCGAGGGCGAGGCUCCGGACGAAGCACUUAAGCGAAGCGAGUGAGCCCGAGGUCCCUAGAAAAACCCCUAGGCAGGCGCGUGCGCGCCCGUACCGCAAACCGACACAGGUGGGUGGGUAGAACAUACCGAGGCGAUCGGGUCAACCAUGGUCAAGGAACUCGGCACAAUGGCCCCGUAACUUCGGGAGAAGGGGUGCCCGCGCGUACGUGAACGGACUUGCUCCGGGAGCGGAGGCGGGCCGCAGUGGAGAGGCCCAAGCGACUGUUUACCAAAAACACAGGACUCUGCAGAAGCCGCAAGGCGACGUAUAGGGUCUGACGCCUGCCCGGUGCCGGAAGGUCACGCGGAGGAGUUAGCCGUUAAGGCGAAGCCCCGAAGCCAAGCCCCGGUAAACGGCGGCCGUAACUAUAACGGUCCUAAGGUAGCGAAAUUCCUUGUCGGGUAAGUUCCGACCUGCACGAAAGGCGCAACGACUUGGGCGCUGUCUCGACCAUGGACCCGGUGAAAUUGCACUGGUCGUGAAGAUGCGACUUACCCGCGGAAGGACGGAAAGACCCCGUGAACCUUCACUGCAGCUUGGCAUUGGCCGCUGGUCCCGCGUGUAGAGGAUAGGCAGGAGGCGAAGAUCCGGAGGCGCCAGCCCCCGGGGAGCCGCCCUUGGAAUACUGCCCUCGCGCGACCGGCGUCCUAACCCGAGGCCGUCAACCGGCUCGGGGACCGUGCCAGGCGGGCAGUUUGACUGGGGCGGUCGCCUCCUAAAGGGUAACGGAGGCGCGCGAAGGUCCGCUCGGGACGGUCGGCAACCGUCCUUUUGAAUGCAAGAGUACAAGCGGGCUUGACUGCGAGGCCCACAAGCCGAGCAGGUGCGAAAGCAGGCUCUAGUGAUCCGGCGGCCCCGAGUGGGUGGGCCGUCGCUCAACGGAUAAAAGGUACUCCGGGGAUAACAGGCUGAUCUUGCCCAAGAGUCCACAUCGACGGCAAGGUUUGGCACCUCGAUGUCGGCUCAUCGCAUCCUGGGGCUGUAGCAGGUCCCAAGGGUUGGGCUGUUCGCCCAUUAAAGCGGUACGCGAGCUGGGUUCAGAACGUCGUGAGACAGUUCGGUCCCUAUCCUCCGUGGGCGCAGGAGAAUCGAUGGAGGCUGCCCCCAGUACGAGAGGACCGGGGUGGACGCACCUCCGGUGAACCGGUUGUCGACCAACGGCACGGCCGGGUAGCCGCGUGCGGCGCGGAUAACCGCUGAAGGCAUCUAAGCGGGAAGCCGUUCCAGGGAUUAGUUCUCCUUCCGGUAAGGGCCCAGGUAGACUACCUGGUCGAUAGACGGCAGGUGCAAGGCUGGCGACAGCCUCAGCCGAGCCGCACUAAUCGCCCGAGCUCUUCCGGA